GUAAGGUGAGAGAAUUUUAUCUAAUUUGCAUUUAGAGUUAAUGAUUAUUCAUAUGGGAAG
rnacentral:tRNA from 1 species